rnacentral:misc_RNA from 1 species
AAAAAAGAUGCCUUCUUCCCUUCAACUGCAUCGAAUUAAUCCAACCACUGCCACACUAGCGGUUAAACAACCGCAACUAUCACAGGCUACAACAUGGUUCAGUCCGGUUUCCACUUCUGUCCCUGAUAACGUAUUGCAUCACCACACCCAUGUUGUGGGUCCCAACCAGUGCUGCUCCGCGGUGUUGCAGUCCAUUUCCGCCCCAAUCGACACCGUCUGGUCCCUCGUCCGCCGAUUCGAUAAUCCGCAAGCGUACAAACACUUUCUCAAGAGCUGCCACGUCAUCGUCGGUGACGGUGACGUCGGUACGCUUAGGGAAGUCCGGGUUGUAUCCGGACUACCCGCGGGUUCUAGUACGGAGAGGCUGGAGAUUUUGGAUGACGAGAAACACGUGUUGAGUUUUAGCGUUGUGGGAGGAGAUCAUCGGCUGAAUAAUUACCGAUCGGUGACGACGCUGCACCGGGCGGCGGAAGAAGGAUCGACGGUGGUGGUAGAGUCGUAUGUAGUGGAUGUACCACAAGGGAAUACGAAGGAAGAAACAUGUGUAUUUGUGGAUACGAUUGUGCGGUGCAAUUUGCAGUCGCUGGCCCAAAUCGCACAGAACUUGGCUAAGACGUCAAAGAGU